rnacentral:rRNA from 1 species
UACGUAGGGUGCAAGCGUUGUCCGGAAUUAUUGGGCGUAAAGAGCUCGUAGGCGGUUUGUCGCGUCGAAUGUGAAAACCCGGGGCUCAACCCCGGGCCUGCAUUCGAUACGGGCAGACUAGAGUUCGGUAGGGGAGUCUGGAAUUCCUGGUGUAGCGGUGAAAUGCGCAGAUAUCAUGAGGAACACCGGUGGCGAAGGCGGUUCUCUGGGCCGAUACUGACGCUGAGGAGCGAAAGCGUGGGGAGCGAACAGG